rnacentral:lncRNA from 1 species
GUCAUAACACAUAAGCAGUGAGUAUAUAAAGCAGUAAAUAACAGCAUACAAGUUUGCAGUAUACAGUAUAUAUCAGUAUCACGAUAUUCACAUAAAACACAGUAACUCUAGAAUGCUUAUGAAUGUUAGUACAGUACACUACCGAAUCCAACCUUACACACUACAAUAAGAGUUCCCUAGAACUCUUCUAGCCCUACAUACCAAAAUCAUAUUUGCGGAUGAGCCGCUAGUAAAUCAGUAGGAGCCUUAGCUCAUGUGGAUGAACCAUCAGUAAAUGAUCGGUGAAUCAAUUCGGCAUUUAAUGCUUGAACUUCCUCUUUCAACCACCCAAAUCCCAAUGCAUUAGUAUCAUAGGCUAUGAAUGUUAGAAAACAAUAACAGUAACAAUUUUAACAUACAAUUAUCAUGCAAACGGCUACAGUUUGUUGGCUAAACAGUAACAGUAAGCAUGCAUCAGUGAUAUAUGCAGGAUUAACACUCAAUCUACAUUAUACACAUAUUCAACAUUAACGAUUUAGAAAAAUGGCACAUACUACAACUAGAUCUACCAUACAGGUCUCAUUUACCACUAUGUUGAUUCGUUAGUUUCUCAGUACUACAUCAAAGAAUAUUUUCCAACCAUAUUUGGAGUUGUUAUCACAAUUGAAACCUUGAGAAUAAAAUAAUUAAUAUUAUAUGAUAAAAUCAAGAACCAAAACGCAAAAAUAAGCACUCAAACAUUCGGGCAAGCCCAUACACACAUAGUUAGACACACGCUUUCACCCACAUGCCCCUGCAACACUUUAGCGGACUCUUACGAUUCAGACCCGCUUUGACAUCAUCAAGAUUCGAUCCUUCAAACGGUAUACACACAAAUAACAACAUAUUAGCAAUCGACAUAAAUUAGAUUCAGGAACCGAAGAAACCCGAUUAACCAAAAUAGGAGUGAAAUAAAUUGUACACACAAUUUAUUUACUUGAAAACCGAAUCUUACCCAUGGAUCGGAAGGUUUACACUUACCAAACUACUAUUAGGAUCACAAUCGUGUAAAAUAGAAUAAAGAGGCAAAUGCACAAAGCUACUGAUUCCAACGAACCAAACGAUUGAUGAUGAUUCAAGAAAAAGAAAAAGAAUCGAUAGCCCAAGAAGGGUGCAAGAAAUAACAGGUAGAAAGAAAAGAGAGAAAGAGGAAGAAAAGAAAAUAAAAGAGGAGAAAACGACACAGGGAAAAAGUGAAAGAGGAAAAAAAAGUUUAGGGCAGCAGCAGAAACAAAAGAAUGAG